rnacentral:misc_RNA from 1 species
ACUCUUCAACCCACCGGUUCCUUGUUGAACCGAGUUGGUGUUUGGUUUUUGAGUGUUUUGCUUUGUUUUCGGACAUAGCUCGCUCGUAAUACAUUAGCAUCUCGAUUUCGAAAUUUCGGAUUGACUCAGCGUAAUAGACUAUUCGCUGAGGACACCUUUACGGGUGGCCGACAUUAUGAUAACAGUAGACGCUUCCAAUCCUACUAGUCAAUUUUAUG